UACGAAGGGGGCUAGCGUUGCUCGGAAUCACUGGGCGUAAAGCGCACGUAGGCGGAUUGCUAAGUCAGGGGUGAAAUCCUGGAGCUCAACUCCAGAACUGCCUUUGAUACUGGUGAUCUUAAGUCCGGGAGAGGUGAGUGGAACUGCGUGUGUAGAGGUGAAAUUCGUAGAUAUUCGGAGGAACACCAGAAGCGAAGGCGGCCAACUGGCCCGAUACUGACGCUGAGGCGCGAAAGCGUGGGGAGCAAACAGG
rnacentral:rRNA from 1 species